UGUUUUUUAUUUUAAUAAAGAAUUUUUGUUUUAUAAAUUGUUUUAUAAAUUAAAAAUAUUAUCAGAUCUCUUAGCGCUAAUUUACUGUAGUAAAAAUAAUAAAUUAUUUUUAAAAAUAAAGUUUAAAAAAGAAUGAAUAAAGUAGUAUGUUUUUAAGAUUGAAUCAAGAAAAUCAUCUGAAUUCAUUUUAAAGGAUUUUAUAAAAAAAAUAGAUAAAUUUAACAAAUAUUAAUUCUUCAAAAAAAAAUAA
rnacentral:tRNA from 1 species